CCUACGGGUGGCAGCAGUGAGGAAUAUUGGUCAAUGGGCGAGAGCCUGAACCAGCCAAGUCGCGUGAGGGAGUACUGCCCUAUGGGUUGUAAACCUCUUUUGUCGGGGAGCAAAAGCCGGACGUGUCCGGCUGUUAGAGUACCCGCAGAAAAAGCAUCGGCUAACUCCGUGCCAGCAGCCGCGGUAAUACGGAGGAUUCAAGCGUUAUCCGGAUUUAUUGGGUUUAAAGGGUGCGUAGGCGGUCGGAUAAGUUAGAGGUGAAAUCCCGAGGCUCAACUUCGGAAUUGCCUCUGAUACUGUUCGGCUAGAGAGUAGUUGCGGUAGGCGGAAUGUAUGGUGUAGCGGUGAAAUGCUUAGAGAUCAUACAGAACACCGAUUGCGAAGGCAGCUUACCAAGCUACUUCUGACGUUGAGGCACGAAAGCGUGGGGAGCAAACAGGAUUAGAUACCCCUGUAGUC
rnacentral:rRNA from 1 species